rnacentral:rRNA from 1 species
GAUACCCGCUGAACUUAA